UACAGAGGUCUCAAGCGUUGUUCGGAUUCAUUGGGCGUAAAGGGUGCGUAGGGGGUGACGCAAGUCUGGUGUGAAAUCUCGGAGCUCAACUCCGAAAUUGCACCGGAUACUGCGUGACUCGAGGACUGUAGAGGAGAUCGGAAUUCACGGUGUAGCAGUGAAAUGCGUAGAUAUCGUGAGGAAGACCAGUGGCGAAGGCGGGUCUCUGGACAGUUCCUGACGCUGAGGCACGAAGGUCAGGGGAGCAAACGGG
rnacentral:rRNA from 1 species